GUCAUUUAAUAAUUGCAUAUUUAUAUCCUUUGCUCAUCUAAUUAAUUAAUUAGGGGAAUGAUGCACACUUUAAUCAGUUUCCUAUACAUCUCAUUUGAUUAUAAUAUGAUCUUUUGCAUUUAGACCACAUAUUUAUUUUGACUUUAUUGUACUUUAUGUUGUGAGUUGUUGGUCUAAACUCAAUUUCUGCCAGACUUUUGCAUAAAGAUUUUACUUUUAAUUUGAUUAUUGUGAUAGGUUAUUCAAGUUUAAGAAGAUUAUUAUUUAGAUCAUUUAAAUAAAAACACAUUUCUGGACACCUAAAAGAGAAUACUCUUUAUCUAAGUGUAUAUAUACAUACAUAUAUAUUCAUUCCCUAAUAUAUCUCUCUCUUGAACUCUAUUCAUUAAGCCAUUCAUAGUAACAAAAAAAAAAAAAAGAAAAGAAAAGAAAAAAGUUUAGAAGCUGGCCAAUAUAUCAACUGUAUCUAAUGUAAUGUUCUGUAAUCACAGGUAGGGUAAUUUGUAUCAUGUAAGGGUAGAAUGAAGACAAGAUGAGUCUAUUUAUAUUCUAAUAAGGAAAGGACAAAUUGCCUUCUCCUUUUUAAUCAUCUACAAAUGUAUACACAUAGGAACAUAUAAGUAUGAUAAUAUACACACAUAUACCCACAUUAAUUUACCAGAAGUGAAGGUAAAGCUCAAUGUCUGAGAAUAGACUCUAUGAAUAUUUAUUAUUAAAUAAUUAAAUAACCCAUUAUUUCAAUAAUGUCAGUCUUUUAAAAUAUUUAUAUUUUCACUACAUUUUUCUGAAAUGAAAGCUUAUAUUAUUAGUUGUGUUUAAAUAAAUAAUCUUAAAAUGCCUCUAUAUAAUAGCAACUAACAAAUCUGUUUAGUUUCACUAUAAGUAAGUGUCAUCUGGUUUUCCUGCUGCUCAUACAAUUUGGAUAAUUGAUCAUUUGCUUCUUAGAUAGGUAUUUUCCAGUGGACUUUGGCCAGAGUUUGAAACGAUGAACAAAGACUGGCUUUAUUGUAGACAAACCUAACAUUUUGAUGAAAAAAAUCAAUUUAUAAAGCUAUAAACAGAAUAAUAUGUCAGGCAGACACUGUGAAUGAGUAAGCCCUAGCAGUACUCUCAGGUCACUUUGAGAAGGGCCUCUGAAGUUUGACAAAGGCACUUGAAGCGUAUGAGCAAUAGUCAUUCUUCAAAUUGUUCCAUUUAACUUAGUUUUUCAGUUUUUUUUUUAAUUUUUUAACAAGCACAGCAACAUAUAAUCCACUAAACAGUUAUAAAAAAUAACAACAAAUAAAGAUAAACUUGGAAAAUCAUGAACAGAAAUAUAGGGAUAAACAGGAUUUGACAAACACGCCUGUAAAUAUUUACUAACCAAAAUCACUGGAGUUCAUAACAACUUAUGAUUAAACAUUACCAAAAAUAACCAUUGUAAAAUGUAUUUUCUUGUUCAUUACAUAAGGUUAACUUUAUCUUAUAAUUUUGUAGGCACUAAUAAGAAAUAGCAGGCCUGAAGAAUUCAGAAAAAUAUGGUAAGACUGAUAAGAGGAGACACAGAUGAAUAAAAACAGAGGCAAAAGAACAACAUAUAAAAUAAUUAUAAUGUAAAUAAAAGCAAUAAUAAAUGGCAAUACCAUGUAUAACUUU
rnacentral:lncRNA from 1 species